rnacentral:lncRNA from 1 species
CAUGCUCACGCCACAUGCUCUGUGCAUGCUGUCUCUGCACGCGCCGUGCACACUCUCUCCACGUGCUCCGUGCGUGCCCUCUUGCACGCUCCGGGCAUGCUCCAGGUGCACUCUCUUUGCACGGCCCAUGCACGCUCACACCAAACGCUCCGUGCACGCUCUGUCUGCGUGCUCCGUGCUUGCCCUCUUGCACGCUCCGUGCAUACUCCGGGCACACUCUCUUUGCACGGCACGUGCACGCUCACACCAAACGCUCCGUACACGCUCUCUCCGCGUGCUCCGUGCAUGCCCUCUUGCACGCUCCAGGCACGCUCUCUCUGCACGGUCUGUGCACACUCACACCACACGCUCCGUGCUUGCCCUCUUGCAUGCUCCGUGCACGCUCUGGGCACACUCUCUCUGCACUCUCUGUGCACGCUCACACCACAUGCUCCGUGCACGCUCUCUCCGCGUGCUCCGUGCGUGCCCUCUUGCACGCUCCGGGCAUGCUCUGGGCACACUCUCUUUGCACGGUCUGUGCAUGCUCUCUCCGCACGCUCCGUGCACGCUCACACCACACGCUCCGUGCAUGCUCUCUCCGCACACACCGUGCAUGCCCUCUUGCACGCUCUGGGCACACUCUCUCUGCACGCUCCGUGCAUGCUCACACCACACGCUCCGUGCCCACUCUGUCCGCGUGCUCCAUGCAUGUCCUCUUGCAUGCUCCGUGCAUGCUCCGGGCACACUUUCUGCACAGUCUGUGCAUGCUCACACCACACGCUCCGUGCACGCUCUCUCUGCGUGCUCUGUGCAUGCCCUCUUGCACAAUCUGUGCAUGCUCUGAGCACACUCUCUUUGCACACUCUCUGUAUGCUCUCUCUGUGUGCUCCGUGCAUGUCCUCUUGCACGCUCCGUGCAUGCUCUGGGCACACUCUCUCUGCACUCUCUGUGCACGCUCACACCACACGCUCCAUGCACGCUCUGCGUGCUCCGUGCAUGCCCUCUUGCACGCUCUGUGCAUGCUCUGAGCACACU